GGGCCGUUAGCUCAGUUGGUAGAGCAGUUGACUCUUAAUCAAUUGGUCGAAGGUUCGAACCCUUCACGGCCCACCA
rnacentral:tRNA from 1 species